ACCUCGGUAGUAGAGUGGUGAGUAUCCCCGCCUGUCACGCGGGAGACCGGGUUUGGAUUCCCCGCAGGGGAG
rnacentral:tRNA from 1 species